UGGGGAGCUAGUAUAGCGGCUUAAUUUCGACUUAAGUUAAGGAUAAUUUAGUGAAAUUCACGUCAU
rnacentral:tRNA from 1 species